CAAACUUUAUGACCCUCUGAAAGAGAAGAUAAGGUAUGUUGGGCGGCUUUUUGUAAAAGGAAGUGGGAAGCCGCUGGAGAUAUUAACAAGGCUGAAUGAGUUAGGUUGGCUUUUCCCUGAUGAAGAAAUUGAACUCUUUGAGG